rnacentral:rRNA from 1 species
AGAGUUUGAUCAUGGCUCAGAUUGAACGCUGGCGGCAGGCUUAACACAUGCAAGUCGAACGGUAACAGGAAAUAGCUUGCUAUUUUGCUGACGAGUGGCGGACGGGUGAGUAAUGCUUGGGAAUUUGCCUUGUUGUGGGGGACAACAGUUGGAAACGACUGCUAAUACCGCAUAAUGUCUUCGGACCAAAGGUGGCCUCUAUUUAUAUGCUAUCGCGACAAGAUGAGCCCAAGUGGGAUUAGCUAGUUGGUAAGGUAAUGGCUUACCAAGGCUUCGAUCCCUAGCUGGUCUUAGAGGAUGACCAGCCACACUGGAACUGAGACACGGUCCAGACUCCUACGGGAGGCAGCAGUGGGGAAUAUUGCACAAUGGAGGAAACUCUGAUGCAGCCAUGCCGCGUGUGUGAAGAAGGCUUUCGGGUUGUAAAGCACUUUCAGCGAGGAGGAAAGGGUGAUGGUUAAUAUCCAUCAUCUGUGACGUUACUCGCAGAAGAAGCACCGGCUAACUCCGUGCCAGCAGCCGCGGUAAUACGGAGGGUGCGAGCGUUAAUCGGAAUUACUGGGCGUAAAGCGCGCGUAGGCGGUUAAUUAAGUCAGAUGUGAAAGCCCAGGGCUCAACCUUGGAACUGCAUUUGAAACUGGUUAACUAGAGUUUUGUAGAGGGUGGUAGAAUUUCAGGUGUAGCGGUGAAAUGCGUAGAGAUCUGAAGGAAUACCAGUGGCGAAAGCGGCCACCUGGACAAAGACUGGCGCUGAGGCGCGAAGGCGUGGGGAGCAAACGGGAUUAGAUACCCCGGUAGUCCACGCAGUAACGAUGUCUAUUAGAAGUUUGUGGCUAUAUGCCGUGUGUUUCAAAGCUAACGCAUUAAUAGACCGCCUGGGGAGUACGGCCGCAAGGUUAAACUCAAUGAUUGACGGGGGCCCGCACAAGCGGUGGAGCAUGUG